ACACAAUCACAUAAGGCACAUAAGAAUCACAAUCAAACAUCAUUAAAACAUGCUCUGUUUUUACACUGGUUCAACUUCAAAAUUUAAACUGUUCUGAUUCCGACAUCUCCUGGACUCGAGACUCAUACUGAAAGAAAUUUCUUCGAGUCUAGUUUCAUUAAAAAAAAAAUAGAGUCGAAAGCUCCAAGUGGUUUGAGAGAUAUGACGUUUUUACCACGAUCUACCAUUUCUGGCAGUUUUGUGCAACCGAAGGUUACAAUUUUUGAAAAAUAGUAAACGUUGUCAAACUGGGCUCAACUUUGGUGGAUAUCUAGCUAACACAAUAAGGUUGAUACCAUAAAAAGUUGGAAAGCUAGAUCACAUAGGAAGCUACUUAAAUGAAUAACUCUUUCCCCUGUUCUCUGAAAUUCUCGGUAAUAAUGUGCAGUUUAGGUUUUGCAUUUUAAAGAAAUAUCAAACGAAGUUUAAAUAGCUUGAAAUUUUACCAGGGUACUCAAGACUCAUGUAGAAACUUGCUAUAAAAUUUUCAAAGCUAUUAGACAUCGACAAACCAUCGAUCACAGUAGGUCAGUAGGCCUACGAAAUUCUCCAAUUUAUAUUUAAAACUUAUAUAUCUUAAUAAUAUCUCUAACUUGAAUAUAACAUCAUAAUUCUCAACAACAACUCAUCCCAAAACUCAUUUCAUCACUUCU
rnacentral:lncRNA from 1 species